rnacentral:rRNA from 1 species
GAUGAACGCUGGCGGCGUGCUUAACACAUGCAAGUCGAACGGAACUGUUUGGAUGAAGUUUUCGGAUGGAUUUUAAACAGUUUAGUGGCGGACGGGUGAGUAACGCGUGGGUAACCUGCCUCACACUGGGGGAUAACAGUUAGAAAUAGCUGCUAAUACCGCAUAAGCGCACAGCUCCGCAUGGAGCAGUGUGAAAAACUCCGGUGGUGUGAGAUGGACCCGCGUCUGAUUAGCUAGUUGGUGAGGUAACGGCUCACCAAGGCGACGAUCAGUAGCCGACCUGAGAGGGUGAUCGGCCACAUUGGGACUGAGACACGGCCCAA